UCUGACUUCUCUUUCAACUAAAGAUCAGAGUACUGAGGAAGGAGUCAGCCCACUCACUUUCUGAACUUGUUACAUGUUCGAAGGUUCUCUGUUUUAUGAUCUUGUGUAUCCUGGAGGAGAUAGAUCCUGGACAGGGACUCCCAGCUUGGGAACCUGGAGGAGUAUAGCUCUGCACCAACAGCGGAAACAUGGAGCUAAUGUGUUCCAUCUUCUCUAUGGACAAAAAUCAUUACUAUUCAUACCCCAAGAAACAGGUCAUUUUCCAGAUUUCCAUCCCCACCUCCAAAAGAGUUUGUAAGUAUUAGUUACCUUAGUAGAGGGAGAGAGUCAGGUGUUAAUCAUUGAAGAACCUUGUAGAGCUUUGCUAGGCAUCAGAAGAUCAGGAUUAACUGGGGAGUACUUUAUUGUGGAUUUUCAAGGAGAGCUAAAGCUCUCAUUUAUCAUAUACAAUCCAUACCAGUGCCUGAAGGAUUAACACAAUUUUGAGCUUCACCACAGAGAAGUAAAAUGGCAUCCCUUACGUAUAGAAAUGCAGUUACAGGAAGCGCUGUGCUGUGGGCUGGGGGAAAUCACACAGCACGAGGGCAUCGGUCUCUAGCCUUCACUAGGAAUAAUAUCUUCACAAUCCUGUCUCUUCCCAGCACUUCCAUUUAGGUCUCUUCCCAAAGAGCGUAGUGGCCCCGUCAAAAUGCUUCUGGGAGGAAUCUGAGGCAAAGCCCUAAUUAAGCAAGGAAUUAUUUUGAUUUUGUGUCUGGGAGAUAGAGAUUGCCCAUGAGAGGAAUAAUGAAAGUCUUGAGAUUUGAAAAGUAAUGUAUUGGUAUCAGAAUUUGUGGCCCUGGUGGCACACCCAGUCUUGGAAAUGUCCAGCAGACAGUAGAUUUGUGAUGCAUCAGGACAGCAGAGUGCUGGAGGCUCAGGGCUGUGACAGGUACAGUUGGGGGAGGUGCUUUGAAUGAGCCAACCACAUCCUGAAGUAGUUAUGAUCCAGUCCAGUCAAUCUUCUGUAGAGAAUUAAUGCUCACCUUUGGAAGGAGGUCCCAUGAGCAGUGACAGAGAGCAAUAAAUAUCACUGUUGGGGCACUCUCCACCUUGUGGAACUCAGAGGAACUAGGAUGCCCCGCCCCUCUGUUCAUGCCCACAAGGGCCUCAUCCGGUGAAGCCUCCUCCCCGCCACCCUGCCAUGGCCACCAGGCUCCUCUGCUGUGUGGCCCUUUGUCUCCUGGGAACAGAGUUUACAGAUGCUGGAGUCAUCCAGACACCCAGGCACAAGGUGAC